UGGGGAAUAUUGCACAAUGGGCGCAAGCCUGAUGCAGCCAUGCCGCGUGUGUGAAGAAGGCCUUCGGGUUGUAAAGCACUUUCAGCGAGGAGGAAGGUGGUGAGCUUAAUACGCUCAUCAAUUGACGUUACUCGCAGAAGAAGCACCGGCUAACUCCGUGCCAGCAGCCGCGGUAAUACGGAGGGUGCAAGCGUUAAUCGGAAUUACUGGGCGUAAAGCGCACGCAGGCGGUUUGUUAAGUCAGAUGUGAAAUCCCCGGGCUCAACCUGGGAACUGCAUUUGAAACUGGCAAGCUAGAGUCUCGUAGAGGGGGGUAGAAUUCCAGGUGUAGCGGUGAAAUGCGUAGAGAUCUGGAGGAAUACCGGUGGCGAAGGCGGCCCCCCUGGACGAAGACUGACGCUCAGGUGCGAAAGCGUGGGGCAGCAAACAGGAUUAGAUACCCUGGUAGUCCAGCGCUGUAAACGAUGUCGAUUUGGAGGUUGUGCCCUUGAGGCGUGGCUUCCGGAGCUAACGCGUUAAAGUCGACCGCCU
rnacentral:rRNA from 1 species